rnacentral:rRNA from 1 species
GAUGAACGCUGGCGGCGUGCUUAACACAUGCAAGUCGAACGGGAAAUACUUUAUUGAAACUUCGGUCGAUUUAAUUUAUUUCUAGUGGCGGACGGGUGAGUAACGCGUGGGUAACCUGCCUUAUACUGGGGGAUAACAGCCAGAAAUGACUGCUAAUACCGCAUAAGCGCACAGAACCGCAUGGUUCGGUGUGAAAAACUCCGGUGGUAUAAGAUGGACCCGCGUUGGAUUAGCUAGUUGGCAGGGCAGCGGCCUACCAAGGCGACGAUCCAUAGCCGGCCUGAGAGGGUGAACGGCCACAUUGGGACUGAGACACGGCCCAGACUCCUACGGGAGGCAGCAGUGGGGAAUAUUGCACAAUGGGGGAAACCCUGAUGCAGCGACGCCGCGUGAAGGAAGAAGUAUCUCGGUAUGUAAACUUCUAUCAGCAGGGAAGAUAAUGACGGUACCUGACUAAGAAGCCCCGGCUAACUACGUG